rnacentral:rRNA from 1 species
UGCCGCGUGAGUGAUGAAGGCCUUAGGGUUGUAAAGCUCUUUCGUUAGGGACGAUAAUGACGGUUCCUACAGAAUAAGCCCCGGCUAACUUCGUGCCAGCAGCCGCGGUAAUACUAAGGGGGCUAGCGUUGUUCGGAUUUACUGGGCGUAAAGCGCACGUAAGCUGAUUGUUAAGUGAGGGGUGAAAUCCCAGGGCUCAACCCUGGAACUGCCUUUCAUACUGGCCAUCUGAAGUCCGGAUGAGGUGAGUGGAACUCCUAAUGUAGAAGUGGAAUUCAUAUAUAUUAGGAACAACACCAUUGGCAAAUGCGGCUCAGUGGUCCGGUACUGACGCUGAUGUGCUAAAGCGUGGGGAGCACACAGGAUUAAAUACCCUGGUAGUCCACGCCAUAAACUAUGGAGGCUAUCCAUUGGGAGGUUUACCUCUCAUGGGCGCAGCUUAUUCAUUAACCUUCCCGCCUGGGGAGUACGGUCGCAAGAUUAACACUCAAAUGAAUUGACGGGGGCCCGCACAAGCGGUGGAGCAUGUGAUUUAAUUCAAAGCAGCACGAAGAACCUUACCUACCCUUGACAUGGCAAGACUAUCUCCACAUAUGGAUCUCUUCACUUCGGU